GUUAGUUUAGUCUUGAGGUCCUAAAUACCCAGUUUAUUUUUGUUUCUUGGAGUUUUCGUUUACGUGUUGUUUUGUGUGGAGGUUUGAAUAGUCUCGGAAAAUUUUUUUUUUAAAACUAAUGAAGAAUGAAAUUUACAAAGAUUACCAAUAGAAACAUCUUCUUAAUUGUUGGAUUUAUGAUCGUGUAUUGUUCGGUACUAUAUCUCUUUAAAUGGCAGCAGAUGUUAAAUUUUGCUCCUAAGGCCACACCACUAUACAAAAAAGAAACGAGGCUUCUUCAUGGAGAAUUUGACGUCUAUUUUUAUCAAGCGAUUGAGGGAGAAUUCUGG